AUCACUUCUCGGCCUUUUGGCUAAGAUCAAGUGUAAAAAUCACUAUUUUGGAGGUCACACAUCUGAGUAAUUUAUUAUCAGUUUCUCACUAGCUCUGCUGCAGUGAACACCUCU
ensembl:snRNA U2 U2 spliceosomal RNA